rnacentral:rRNA from 1 species
GGCGAACGCUGGCGGCGUGCUUAACACAUGCAAGUCGAACGAAGUGGCGAACGGGAGAGUAACGCGUAAUCAACUUGCCCUUCAGAGGGGGACAACAGUUGGAAACGACUGCUAAUACCGCAUACUGAAGGAGGGGAUGGCGUCUGCUUAGCUAGUUGGAGGGGUAACGGCCGACCAAGGAGAUGAUCAGUAGCCGUUCUGAGAGGAUGAACGGCCACAUUGGGACUGAGACACGGCCCAGACUCCUACGGGAGGUAGCAGGGGGGAAUCUGCCGCAAUGGACGAAAGUCUGACGGAGCAACGCCGCGUGAGGGAUGACGGCCUUCGGGUUGUAAAGCUCUGUUAAUCGGGACGCGGUACCGGAAUAGAAAGCCACGGCUAACUACGUGCCAGCAGCCGCGGUAAUAC